GACGAACGCUGGCGGCGUGCUUAACACAUGCAAGUCGAACGGAAAGGCCCUGCUUUUGUGGGGUGCUCGAGUGGCGAACGGGUGAGUAACACGUGAGUAACCUGCCCUUGACUUUGGGAUAACUUCAGGAAACUGGGGCUAAUACCGGAUAGGAGCUCCUGCUGCAUGGUGGGGGUUGGAAAGUUUCGGCGGUUGGGGAUGGACUCGCGGCUUAUCAGCUUGUUGGUGGGGUAGUGGCUUACCAAGGCUUUGACGGGUAGCGGGCCUGAGAGGGUAACCGGCCACAUUGGGAUGGGGAGACGGCCCAGACUCUACGGGAGGCAGCAGUGGGGAAUAUUGCACAAUGGGCGGAAGACUGAUGCAGCAACGCCGCGUGCGGGAUGACGGCCUUCGGGUUGUAAACCGCUUUCGCCUGUGACGAAGCGUGAGUGACGGUAAUGGGUAAAGAAGCACCGGCUAACUACGUG
rnacentral:rRNA from 1 species